rnacentral:misc_RNA from 1 species
GGGACAUCUCUGCUUCACUUUGAGAAGUUGUAAGAGAAUAAGCUCUUUUACAAGAGAGAGAAUGGCAUUUCAAAGCAACCCAAAGUCAAGUUCUUUAGGCAUAUGUUUAACAAAGACAGGAUUCCUCGAGCAUACCACUUUAUAAAGAAGUAAGAAGCAAGACGCAGAGAUUGCAAGACCUCAUUUGGAGAAAGCAUUCAGACUCAUGAAGAAGCAAGCAUAUGAAAACCAAAGGCCAUAAGCAUUCACAGUUGGA